rnacentral:rRNA from 1 species
UGGGGAAUUUUGGGCAAUGGGCGAAAGCCUGAUCCAGCAAUGCCGCGUGUGUGAAGAAGGCCUUCGGGUUGUAAAGCACUUUUGUCCGGAAAGAAAUCCUUGGCUCUAAUACAGUCGGGGGAUGACGGUACCGGAAGAAUAAGCACCGGCUAACUACGUGCCAGCAGCCGCGGUAAUACGUAGGGUGCAAGCGUUAAUCGGAAUUACUGGGCGUAAAGCGUGCGCAGGCGGUUUGCUAAGACCGAUGUGAAAUCCCCGGGCUCAACCUGGGAACUGCAUUGGUGACUGGCAGGCUAGAGUAUGGCAGAGGGGGGUAGAAUUCCACGUGUAGCAGUGAAAUGCGUAGAGAUGUGGAGGAAUACCGAUGGCGAAGGCAGCCCCCUGGGCCAAAUACUGACGCUCAUGCACGAAAGCGUGGGGAGCAAACAGGAUUAGAUACCCUGGGUAGUCCACGCCCUAAACGAUGUCAACUAGUUGUUGGGGAUUCAUUUCCUUAGUAACGUAGCUAACGCGUGAAGUUGACCGCCUGGGGAGUACGGUCGCAA